CACGUAGGAGGCAAGCGUUGUCCGGAUUUAUUGGGCGUAAAGAGCUCGUAGGCGGCUUAGUAAGUCGGGUGUGAAACCUCCAGGCUCAACCUGGAGACGCCACCCGAUACUGCUGUGGCUAGAGUCCGGUAGGGGAGCGUGGAAUUCCUGGUGUAGCGGUGAAAUGCGCAGAUAUCAGGAGGAACACCAGCGGCGAAGGCGGCGCUCUGGGCCGGUACUGACGCUGAGGAGCGAAAGCGUGGGGAGCAAACAGG
rnacentral:rRNA from 1 species